GACGAACGCUGGAGGCGUGCUUAACACAUGCAAGUCGAACGAUGAAAUGGAGCUUGCUCCAUGGAUUAGUGGCGAACGGGUGAGUAACACGUGAAUAACCUGCCCUUAAUUUUGGAAUAACCCAGGGAAACCUGGGCUAAUACCGGAUAAGUAAACCUGUGGCAUCACAUGGUUUUGGAAAGUUUUUCGAUUAAGGAUGGAUUCGCGGCCUAUCAGCUUGUUGGUGAGGCAAUGGCUCACCAAGGCGACGACGGGUAGCCGGCCUGAGAGGGUGAACGGCCACACUGGGACUGAGACACGGCCCAGACUCCAACGCGAGGCAGCAGUGGGGAAUAUUGCGAAAGGGACGAAAGUCUGACGCAGCGACGCCUCGUGAGGGACGAAGGUCUUCGGAUUGUAAACCUCUGUCAGCAGGGACGAAGCGAAAGUGACGGUACCUGCAGAAGAAGCACCGGCUAACUAUGUGCCAGCCGCCGCAGUAA
rnacentral:rRNA from 1 species